AGAAUCAACGCUGGCGGCGUGCCUAACACAUGCAAGUCGAACGAGAAAGUGGAGCAAUCCAUGAGUAAAGUGGCGACCGGGUGAGUAACACGUGACCAAUCUACCCUUGAGUGGGGAUAACCUCGGGAAACCGGGCUAAUACCGCAUAACAUCCUUGGAACGGAAGUACUGGGGAUCAAAGGAGCAAUUCGCUUAAGGAGGAGGUCGCGGCUGAUUAGCUAGUUGGCGGGUAAUGGCCCACCAAGGCAAAGAUCGGUA
rnacentral:rRNA from 1 species